UACGUAGGGUGCAGGCGUUGUCCGGAAUUAUUGGGCGUAAAGAGCUCGUAGGCGGUCUGUUGCGUCGGCUGUGAAAACCCGGGGCUCAACUCCGGGCCUGCAGCCGAUACGGGCAGACUAGAGUUCGGCAGGGGAGACUGGAAUUCCUGGUGUAGCGGUGAAAUGCGCAGAUAUCAGGAGGAACACCGAUGGCGAAGGCAGGUCUCUGGGCAUUAACUGACGCUGAGGAGCGAAAGCAUGGGGAGCGAACAGG
rnacentral:rRNA from 1 species